UAGGGAAUCUUCGGCAAUGGACGAAAGUCUGACCGAGCAACGCCGCGUGUGUGAAGAAGGUUUUCGGAUCGUAAAACUCUGUUGUUAGAGAAGAACAAGGACGUUAGUAACUGAACGUCCCCUGACGGUAUCUAACCAGAAAGCCACGGCUAACUACGUGCCAGCAGCCGCGGUAAUACGUAGGUGGCAAGCGUUGUCCGGUUUUAUUGGGCGUAAAGCGAGCGCAGGCGGUUUCUUAAGUCUGAUGUGAAAGCCCCCGGCUCAACCGGGGAGGGUCAUUGGAAACUGGGAGACUUGAGUGCAGAAGAGGAGAGUGGAAUUCCAUGUGUAGCAGUGAAAUGCAUAAAUAUAUGGAGGAACACCAGUAGCGAAGGCGGCUCUCUGGUCUGUAACUAACGCUGAGGCUAGAAAGCGUGGGGAGCAAACAGG
rnacentral:rRNA from 1 species